rnacentral:rRNA from 1 species
GUGGGGAAUUUUGGACAAUGGGCGCAAGCCUGAUCCAGCAAUGCCGCGUGCAGGAAGAAGGCCUUCGGGUUGUAAACUGCUUUUGUACGGAACGAAAAGGCUCUGGUUAAUACCUGGGGCUCAUGACGGUACCGUAAGAAUAAGCACCGGCUAACUACGUGCCAGCAGCCGCGGUAAUACGUAGGGUGCAAGCGUUAAUCGGAAUUACUGGGCGUAAAGCGUGCGCAGGCGGUUUUGUAAGACAGACGUGAAAUCCCCGGGCUCAACCUGGGAAUGGCGUUUGUGACUGCAAAGCUGGAGUGCGGCAGAGGGGGAUGGAAUUCCGCGUGUAGCAGUGAAAUGCGUAGAUAUGCGGAGGAACACCGAUGGCGAAGGCAAUCCCCUGGGCCUGCACUGACGCUCAUGCACGAAAGCGUGGGGAGCAAACAGGAUUAGAAACCCGGGUAGUCC